rfam:Caenorhabditis japonica strain DF5081 Contig5162.1, whole genome shotgun sequence.
ACCGCCUCUAUACCAAACACUUGCAAGUGACCCCUUGCUGCAAGUGCAUGGAAGAGCGCGAAAAGAAUGGAAGCGUCCGAUGUCCACCCCUUCAAUUCUACUUAUGGGUUGCGGGCACUUUACCUCGGUUGACACUA